GCAUUUAUUAGAUAAAAAGCCARUGCAUGCUUUUACAGUAUGAAAAUUGGUGAUUUAUAAUAACUUAGCAAAUCGCAAAGUGAAAACAGGCGAUAAAUCAUUCAAGUUUCUGACCUAUCAGCUUUCGACGGUAUGGUAUUGGCUUACCGUGGCAGUGACGGUUAACGGGGGAUUAGGGUUCGAUUCCGGAGAGGGAGCCUGAGAAACGGCUACCACAUCUAAGGAAGGCAGCAGGCGCGCAAAUUACCCAAUUCUAACAGUUUGAGAGAGGUAGUAACAAGAAAUAACAAUACAAGGCAGUUAAAAUGCUUUGUAAUUGGAAUGAUAGAAAUUUAAACCCUUUUUAAAGUAUCAAUUGGAGGGCAAGUCUGGUGCCAGCAGCCGCGGUAAUUCCAGCUCCAAUAGCGUAUAUUAAAAUUGUUGCAGUUAAAAAGCUCGUAGUUGAAGUUCUGCUAAAAGUAACCGGUCUGCUUUUAAUAAAAGUGGUAUCUUGGUGUGUAUUUAGCAAUGAUGUC
rnacentral:rRNA from 1 species